rnacentral:sRNA from 2 species
CAAAACGCCAAUAACCAUUAUAUCCUGGUCUAAAAGUCGGCUUCCGCGUAUAGUUGCGUUGCCUUUUGCAAGAAUUCAGGCUUUUUUGCCAAUGGAACCGUAGGUGGUUUGACUACCCAAAAAGGUGACAUUCCCGGAAACAAUACGCAGUAGUUUCAGUAGAGCUUUGGCCCAGGCAUCCGAAUGCCAAAGCGAGGCUAUUUUGCGAAAGUAUGAAGGUCAAAUGCCAAACGAAACAACUUACCUUGUUACAAACAAGCGGAUACAGCUCAUCCUUAAGAGCCAUAUUCAGUAGAUCCUUUUGAAGUAAAUCGCUCCGGCAUUCUUUAUUAUAAACUCUUGACAGCAAUUCGUUACUAGAUGAAAGUGCAGCUUUUGUAUAGUAAAUCUUUGCUGGUGAUAUCGAUGUGGCAAUAUUGUGGGGAACAGAUUUCAAGGGACUACAAAGUCAUAUGUUAUUUAUUGACUAGCUCGGAGCAGGUGAGCGGGCCAUAGAGGGUUGGUUGCGUAAGCUAACUGCUAACAAGGUGCUGACCCGUCACAUAAAGAAUUUACUAUGUAUAGUAAAUCUUGAUUUAGAGUAGAAUAGGUCUUUGAUAGUUGAUAGAAUAAUAAUAUUAAAAAAAAAUCAAUUGUAUAUGUUAAAAUAAAAGCAGAGUAAUAAAGGUGAUUAAUUAUGUUGGUGAAGAGUUUUUGUUGAUAUCUUGAGAUAAAUAAUAUCUUCAACCAGCAUAGAAAACAUAUGCUUUGAUCUUCUUAUCUACAACUUAUAGUUAAAGGCAAUAUGGC